rnacentral:snRNA from 1 species
AUACUUACCUGGCAAGGGAGAUACCGUGAUCAAGAAGGCGGUUCACCCAGGGCGAGGCUCAGCCAUUGCACUCCGGCUGUGCUGACCCCUGCGAAUUUCCCAAAUGUGGAAAUCUCNAUGAUGUCUACAUGUUGGAGUAUGCCCCUG